rnacentral:rRNA from 1 species
AGAGUUUGAUCCUGGCUCAGAACGAACGCUGGCGGCGCGUCUUAACCAUGCAAGUCGAGCGGCAGGCAGCAAUGCCGAGAGCGGCGGACUGGUGAGUAACACGUGGAUAACGUACCCCGAUGUCCGGGACAGCCUGUAGAAAUAGAGGGUAAUACCGGAUAGAUCACUGUUUACGUGAGGUAGACAGCGGGAAAGGAGCUUCGGCUCCGCGACGGGAUCGGUCUGCGGCCCAUCAGCUGGACGGCGGGGUAAAGGCCCGCCGUGGCGAGGACGGGUAUCCGGCCUGAGAGGGUGGACGGACACAUUGGGACUGAGAUACGGCCCAGACUCCUACGGGAGGCAGCAGGUAAGAAUAUUCCGCAAUGGGGGGAGCCCUGACGGAGCGACGCCGCGUGAACGAAGAAGGCCGGAAGGUUGUAAAGUUCUUUUCUGUCCGAGGAAUAAGUUUUGGAGGAAAUGCCGGGACGGUGACGGUAGGGCAGGAAUAAGCACCGGCUAACUACGUGCCAGCAGCCGCGGU